AUUGAACGCUGGCGGCAUGCUUUACACAUGCAAGUCGAACGGUAGAGGGGGCAACCCCUUGAGAGUGGCGAACGGGUGAGUAAUGCAUCGGAACGUGCCCAGUCGUGGGGGAUAACGCAGCGAAAGCUGUGCUAAUACCGCAUACGAUCUCUGGAUGAAAGCGGGGGACCGAAAGGCCUCGCGCGAUUGGAGCGGCCGAUGUCAGAUUAGGUAGUUGGUGGGGUAAAGGCUCACCAAGCCAACGAUCUGUAGCUGGUCUGAGAGGACGACCAGCCACACUGGGACUGAGACACGGCAUAGACGCCGACGGGAGGCAGCAGUGGGGAAUUUUGGACAAUGGGCGAAAGCCUGAUCCAGCAAUGCCGCGUGCAGGAAGAAGGCCUUCGGGUUGUAAACUGCUUUUGUACGGAACGAAAAGGUCUGGGUUAAUACCCUGGGCACAUGACGGUACCGUAAGAAUAAGCACCGGCUAACUACGUGCCAGCAGCCGCCGUAA
rnacentral:rRNA from 1 species